rnacentral:rRNA from 1 species
AUUGAACGCUGGCGGAAUGCUUUACACAUGCAAGUCGAACGGCAGCACGGACUUCGGUCUGGUGGCGAGUGGCGAACGGGUGAGUAACAUAUCGGAACGUAUCCAAUAGUGGGGGAUAACUAAUCGAAAGGUUGGCUAAUACCGCAUACGCCCUACGGGGGAAAGCUAGGGACCUUCGGGCCUGGCGUUAAUGGAGCGGCCGAUAUCUGAUUAGCUAGUUGGUGGGGUAAAGGCCCACCAAGGCGACGAUCAGUAGCUGGGCUGAGAGGACGACCAGCCACACUGGAACUGAGACACGGUCCAGACUCCUACGGGAGGCAGCAGUGGGGAAUUUUGGACAAUGGGCGCAAGCCUGAUCCAGCCAUUCCGCGUGAGUGAAGAAGGCCUUCGGGUUGUAAAGCUCUUUCGCAAGGGAAGAAAACUUACCCUCUAACAUAGGGUGAGGUUGACGGUACCUUGAUGAGAAGCACCGGCUAACUACGUGCCAGCCGCCGCGGUAACAC